rnacentral:tRNA from 1 species
GGUAGUGGCUCAGUGGUAGAGCGCUCUGCUAGCACAUGCGAGGCCCUGGGUUUGAUCCUUAGAACCA